AUUUUCCUGCCCGGAAGGAUGCAUGGCCCGGGGUCUCCUGCACCUGAGGGUGGGCGGGAGGCGGCCCCGCGGGUUGUGUUGCUGGAAAAAGGGGUCUCGAUCCAGACCCCAAGAGAGGGUUCUUGGGUCUACUUCAGGGAAGAAUUGGAGGCGAGUCACAGAGCGCAGUGAAGGAAGCAAGUUUAUUGGAAUCUACUCCGUUAGAGAGUGCAAGUCCUCAGACUGCAGGAGGAGGAACUCCCGUCCUUCGGUAGUGUCACUACUUAGAGGCAGCUGUGAGGAGCUGUGAUUAAUCGUGGAAUGUGCUGAUGUGCCCACUAAAGAUGCCUGGUAAGCAGUGGCUCCUCUAACAAGUGGGCAGCUUGGAACUGGGAACGAGAGAGCCACCGAAACAGAAUGAGGGAGACAAAGAAGUGGGCAUCACCCUUAACUCCACAAGGGCUUCCCAAGGGCGCUGUACCGUACGCAGGCCCAGGACGAACUUUAUUUCUCGCCCCAGCAUCGCUGUCCUUGUCGGUGAGACCCUGGCUUUAGGGCAGACAGGACCACGUUUCAUAAGUUCAUGCUGUCCCAGCAGAGGAAUAACGCCAGAAAGUGUUCCAGUACAACCAGAGAAAGAGAGUCCAUGAGAAAUCUGCCCUUGUGAAGUUGGAAUCCCCUCAACCUCACCCCGCUGACUUGAAUGAAGCGACUGAGACGGGCUAUGAUGGAGCAGAUCCGGUUGCUCGACCUUCUCCCUUGCACCAACACAUGUAGUUAAUAGUUACUGGACAUGCAUAUUCAGUGGGUUCCAGGUACCAAACUUGUAUUGAAUGGUAUGUGCCAGACACCGUCUUGAGAUCUGGAGAAUAAAAAAAUAAAAAAAUAAAAACGAGACAUCCAGAGCACAGUA
rnacentral:lncRNA from 10 species